GCCCGCGUAGCUCAGUUGGCCAGAGCAGCCGGUUCUUACCCGGCGGGCCGCAGGUUCGACUCCUGCCGCCGGCACCA
rnacentral:tRNA from 1 species